rnacentral:tRNA from 1 species
CUGGAGAUGGCUCAGUGGUUAAGAGCACUGACUGCUCUUCCAGAGGACCCGGGUUCAAUUCCCAGUACCCACA